ACAAAGGAUUGGGAAUAAGCAAAAAGUUUUAAAUCAAUAGUUUAAACUGCUUGAUUUAAGGC
rnacentral:sRNA from 1 species